CGGCGAGUGAAGCGGUAACAGCUCAAAUUUGAAAUCUGGCCCUCUCAGGGCCCGAGUUGUAAUUUGUAGAAGAUGCUUCGGGUGUGGCCCCGGUCUAAGUUCCUUGGAACAGGACGUCAUAGAGGGUGAGAAUCCCGUAUGUGACUGGGUGCCUUCGCUCAUGUGAAGCUCUUUCGACGAGUCGAGUUGUUUGGGAAUGCAGCUCAAAAUGGGUGGUAUAUUUCAUCUAAAGCUAAAUAUUGGCCAGAGACCGAUAGCGCACAAGUAGAGUGAUCGAAAGAUGAAAAGCACUUUGGAAAGAGAGUUAAACAGUACGUGAAAUUGUUGAAAGGGAAGCGCUUGCAACCAGACUUGCGCGUUGCCGAUCAUCCGGGGUUCUCCCCGGUGCACUCGGUUUCGCUCAGGCCAGCAUCGGUUUCGGUGGUUGGAUAAAGGCCUUGGGAAUGUAGCUUCUCUCGGGGAGUGUUAUAGCCCUCGGUGCAAUGCAGCCUACCGGGACCGAGGACCGCGCUUCGGCUAGGAUGCUGGCGUAAUGGUUGUAAGCGACCCGUCUUGAAACACGGACCAAGGAGUCUAACAUCUAUGCGAGUGUUUGGGUGUCAAACCCAUACGCGUAAUGAAAGUGAACGGAGGUGAGAACCCUUAAGGGUGCAUCAUCGACCGAUCCUGAUGUCUUCGGAUGGAUUUGAGUAAGAGCAUAGCUGUUGGGACCCGAAAGAUGGUGAACUAUGCGUGAAUAGGGUGAAGCCAGAGGAAACUCUGGUGGAGGCUCGCAGCGGUUCUGACGUGCAAAUCGAUCGUCAAAUUUGCGUAUAGGGGCGAAAGACUAAUCGAACCAU
rnacentral:rRNA from 1 species